rnacentral:tRNA from 1 species
UCCCUGGUGGCUCAGACGGUAAAGCAUCUGCCUGCAAUGCGGGAGACCAGGGUUCGAUUCCUGGGUUGGGAA